AUUGAACGCUGGCGGCGUGCCUAACACAUGCAAGUCGAGCGGUAACGAGGUGUAGCAAUACAUGCUGACGAGCGGCGAACGGGUGAGUAAUGCUUUGGAAUCUUCCCAGUAGUGGGGAAUAACCAGUCGAAAGAUUGGCUAAUACCGCAUACGUCGUGUAAAAGGGAAAGCGGGGGACUCGCCUCUUCUUCGGAAGAGAGGCCUCGCGCUAUUGGAUGAGCC
rnacentral:rRNA from 1 species